UUUCAAUUUGUGUUGAGGGGAUGGGGGAGACAAGUUUAUACAACUCUUUUUGUGUUUAAGAUCUAAAGAAUGUUUGACAUAAUUAUUUAAUUGAUGGAUUCAUUUACGGAAUGGGUGGGAUAGUAAAUGGAUAAUGGAAUAGCAGAUAGACCACUUGAAUCAGUUGAUAGGAAAUUCCAGAAGCACUCUCGCUGACUAAUAAAGUUAAUUUAUAUUAAUAAAUAAAUCAUAAACACGCUAUCAAUUGGACCUUUAAGCCCAAUGGGCCUUUUUAUAUUUAUUUCCGUAUAGAUCUCGACGACCUCUGUGUGUCGGGGGUUUAGUUGACAAAAUUAGGGGUUUUCAGUCUCGCCGGCCGAAGUAAAAUUAGAUUCAACCAGAGACGCUCGAUGGAUCCCUCCGCCGCCAACAGUCCUGAAUUGCUUCGCUUCCUUAACGAAGAAGAGCAAAGGGUGAUGAUGAACGAGGCGGUUGCGAAGCUGACAAGCGUGUGUUGGGACAAAUGCCUAACAAGCGCACCGGGUAGCAAGUUCAGCCCUAGUGAGUAUUCAUGUCUCACACACUGUGCUAAGCGUUACGCUGACAUGAGUAUGGUCAUCAUCAGAAGCACUCAGUCCAAGAAGUGACUUACUCCCUUAACCUCCUUUGCCUCUAACUUGUUGCAGCACAAACUUGUUAUGGAAGAAUAGUUUUUUUUUUUAACUAUUGCAAGAAUUAGAUAACUAUUUAGAUUGGUUUUUGAAAACAUUACUGAGGUUUGUAGAAACUUUGUCAUUAGAGGAUACCUUUUGUUAUGAACAGAGGAAACGUUACAGAUAUUAAACUUCAGUUAUAAUGGUUGCAGCUUUGAUUUCAUU